CCUUGAUAUUCUGACCAACUCAUACCUCCAUAUGCAGAUGUGCUCCGCUUAUGUAAUUAACUAAAUUUGUUAGUAACUCUAAGUCUCAGAUAUUUCAGGUACUGAUCUUGGACCUGCCUUACUGCUGCAACUGCGACACCUGCUGGCCAAUCAAGCAUAUUACACCUACAACAAUUUCCUGAAAAUUAUAACAGAGGUAUGAAGUCCACUUGAGGAAGAGAAGGACUGGAUGUGAGCUUGGCCACAAGCCAUCAUCAGAAAUAGAGUCUUCAGGUACUUCUAGAAGAUACGCUGAUAAGAAGACUAAUGUAAAAGUGUUCAUCAUUUACAAUGCAUGUCAUUUCUGGUUCAAACGCUUAGCUUCAGAUAUCCAAGGCCCAAAGAAGAAAAGAUGUGGGCCUG